AACGUAGGACGCAAGCGUUAUCCGGAGUUACUGGGCGUAAAGCGCGCGUAGGCGGACCUGCAAGUCGGGGGUGAAAGCCCGAGGCUCAACCUCGGAACUGCCUUCGAUACUGCGGGUCUCGAGUCCGGGAGAGGUGAGUGGAAUUCCUAGUGUAGAGGUGAAAUUCGUAGAUAUCAGGAGGAACACCGGUGGCGAAGGCGGAUCUCUGGGCCUGUCCUGACGCUGAGGCGCGAGAGCUAGGGGAGCGAACAGG
rnacentral:rRNA from 1 species